rnacentral:rRNA from 1 species
AAGUCGUAACAAGGUCUCAGUAGGUGAACAUGCGGAAGGAUCAUUA